GAUGAACGCUGGCGGCGUGCUUAACACAUGCAAGCCGAACGGAAAGGCCCAAGCUUGCUUGGGUACUCGAGUGGCGAACGGGUGAGUAACACGUGGGUGAUCUGCCCUGCACUUCGGGAUAAGCCUGGGAAACUGGGUCUAAUACCGGAUAGGACCACUUCUUGGAUGUUGUGGUGGAAAGUUUUUUCGGUGUGGGAUGAGCUCGCGGCCUAUCAGCUUGUUGGUGGGGUAAUGGCCUACCAAGGCGUCGACGGGUAGCCGGCCUGAGAGGGUGUACGGCCACAUUGGGACUGAGAUACGGCCCAGACUCCUACGGGAGGCAGCAGUGGGGAAUAUUGCACAAUGGGCGCAAGCCUGAUGCAGCGACGCCGCGUGGGGGAUGACGGCCUUCGGGUUGUAAACUCCUUUCGCUAGGGACGAAGCGUUUUGUGACGGUACCUGGAGAAGAAGCACCGGCUAACUACGUG
rnacentral:rRNA from 1 species